CAGUCGCCGCGGGAAUACGUAGGGUCCGAGCGUUGUCCGGAAUUAUUGGGCGUAAAGGGCUCGUAGGCGGUUUGUUGCGUCGGGAGUGAAAACCAGGUGCUUAACACCUGGCCUGCUUUCGAUACGGGCAGACUAGAGGCAUUCAGGGGAGAACGGAAUUCCUGGCGUAGCGGUGAAAUGCGCAGAUAUCAGGAGGAACACCGGUGGCGAAGGCGGUUCUCUGGGAAUGUUCUGACGCUGAGGAGCGAAAGUGUGGGGAGCGAACAGAAUUAGAUACCCGAGUAGUCCCUGUCUCUUAUAC
rnacentral:rRNA from 1 species